GGAUAACCUACCCUUAGGACCGGGAUAACCCUGGGAAACUGGGGAUAAUACUGGAUAGGCAAUUUUUCCUGUAAUGGUUUUUUGUUUAAAUGUUUUUUCGCCUAAGGAUGGGUCUGCGGCCGAUUAGGUAGUUGGUUAGGUAAUGGCUUACCAAGCCGUUGAUCGGUACGGGUUGUGAGAGCAAGAGCCCGGAGAUGGAACCUGAGACAAGGUUCCAGGCCCUACGGGGCGCAGCAGGCGCGAAACCUCCGCAAUGUGAGAAAUCGCGACGGGGGGAUCCCAAGUGCCAUUCUUAACGGGAUGGCUUUUCAUUAGUGUAAAGAGCUUUUGGAAUAAGGGCUGGGCAAGACCGGUGCCAGCCGCCGCGGUAACACCGGCAGCUCUAGUGGUAGCAGUUUUUAUUGGGCCUAAAGCGUCCGUAGCCGGUUUAAUAAGUCUCUGGUGAAAUCCUGUAGCUUAACUGUGGGAAUUGCUGGAGAUACUAUUAGACUUGAGAUCGGGAGAGGUUAGAGGUACUCCCAGGGUAGAGGUGAAAUUCUGUAAUCCUGGGAGGACCGCCUGUUGCGAAGGCGUCUAACUGGAACAAUUCUGACGGUGAGGGACGAAAGUUAGGGGCGCGAACCGGAUUAGAUACCCGGGUAGUCCUAACUGUAAACGAUGCGGACUUGGUGUUGGGGUGGCUUUGAGCUGCUCCAGUGCCGAAGGGAAGCUGUUAAGUCCGCCGCCUGGGAAGUACGGUCGCAAGACUGAAACUUAA
rnacentral:rRNA from 1 species